UACGUAGGUGGCAAGCGUUGUCCGGAUUUAUUGGGCGUAAAGGGAACGCAGGCGGUCUUUUAAGUCUGAUGUGAAAGCCUUCGGCUUAACCGGGGUAGUGCAUUGGAAACUGGGAGACUUGAGUGCAGAAGAGGAGAGUGGAACUCCAUGUGUAGCGGUGAAAUGCGUAGAUAUAUGGAAGAACACCAGUGGCGAAAGCGGCUCUCUGGUCUGUAACUGACGCUGAGGUUCGAAAGCGUGGGUAGCAAACAGG
rnacentral:rRNA from 1 species